UGAGGAAUAUUGCGCAAUGGGGGAAACCCUAAUCCGGCAAGGCCGGGUGGGUAAGGAAGGUCUUGGGGUUGUAAGGUAUUUUAAGGGGGAAGGAAUGGAAAAUGGUUAAUACCUGGUUUUUUUGACGGUACCCAUAAAAGAAGCACCGGCUAACUUCGUGCCAGCAGCCGCGGUAAUACGGAGGGGGCAAGCGUUAAUCGGAAUUACUGGGCGUAAAGGGCGCGUAGGGGGUUUAUUAAGUGAGAUGUGUAAUCCCCGGGCUGAACCUGGGAACUGCAUCUCAUACUGGGAGGCUAGAGUACUGGAGAGGGUGGUAGAAUUCCACGUGUAGCGGUGAAAUGCGUAGAGAUGUGGAGGAAUACCAGUGGCGAAGGCGGCCACCUGGACAGUAACUGACGCUGAGGCGCGAAAGCUAGGGUAGCAAACG
rnacentral:rRNA from 1 species